GAUGAACGCUGGCGGCGUGCCUAAUACAUGCAAGUCGAGCGAACAGACGAGGAGCUUGCUCCUCUGACGUUAGCGGCGGACGGGUGAGUAACACGUGGAUAACCUACCUAUAAGACUGGGAUAACUUCGGGAAACCGGAGCUAAUACCGGAUAAUAUAUUGAACCGCAUGGUUCAAUAGUGAAAGACGGUUUUGCUGUCACUUAUAGAUGGAUCCGCGCCGCAUUAGAUGGUUGGUAAGGUAACGGCUUACCAAGGCAACGAUGCGUAGCCGACCGGAGAGGGUGGUCGGCCACACUGGAACUGAGACACGGUCCAGACUCCUACGGGAGGCCGCAGUAGGCAAUCUUCCGCAGUGGGCGAAAGCCUGGCGGAGCAACGCCGCGUGAGUGAUGAAGGUCUUCGGAUCGUAAAACUCUGUUAUUAGGGAAGAACAAAUGUGUAAGUAACUAUGCACGUCUUGACGGUACCUAAUCAGAAAGCCACGGCUAACUACGUG
rnacentral:rRNA from 1 species